UACAUGCAAGUCGAGCGGACAGAAGGGAGCUUGCUCCCGGAUGUUAGCGGCGGACGGGUGAGUAACACGUGGGUAACCUGCCUGUAAGACUGGGAUAACUCCGGGAAACCGGAGCUAAUACCGGAUAGUUCCUUGAACCGCAUGGUUCAAGGAUGAAAGACGGUUUCGGCUGUCACUUACAGAUGGACCCGCGGCGCAUUAGCUAGUUGGUGAGGUAACGGCUCACCAAGGCGACGAUGCGUAGCCGACCUGAGAGGGUGAUCGGCCACACUGGGACUGAGACACGGCCCAGACUCCUACGGGAGGCAGCAGUAGGGAAUCUUCCGCAAUGGACGAAAGUCUGACGGAGCAACGCCGCGUGAGUGAUGAAGGUUUUCGGAUCGUAAAGCUCUGUUGUUAGGGAAGAACAAGUGCAAGAGUAACUGCUUGCACCUUGACGGUACCUAACCAGAAAGCCACGGCUAACUACGUGCCAGCAGCCGCGGUAAUACGUAGGUGGCAAGCGUUGUCCGGAAUUAUUGGGCGUAAAGGGCUCGCAGGCGGUUUCUUAAGUCUGAUGUGAAAGCCCCCGGCUCAACCGGGGAGGGUCAUUGGAAACUGGGAAACUUGAGUGCAGAAGAGGAGAGUGGAAUUCCACGUGUAGCGGUGAAAUGCGUAGAGAUGUGGAGGAACACCAGUGGCGAAGGCGACUCUCUGGUCUGUAACUGACGCUGAGAG
rnacentral:rRNA from 1 species